GGGCGGAUAGCUCAGUGGAAGAGCACCUGCUUUACACGCAGGGUAGGUUCGAACCCUACUUCGCCCACCA
rnacentral:tRNA from 1 species